CACGUAGGGUGCGAGCGUUGUCCGGAAUUAUUGGGCGUAAAGAGCUCGUAGGCGGUGUGUCGCGUCGGCCGUGAAAACCUGCAGCUUAACUGUGGGCUUGCGGUCGAUACGGGCAUCACUGGAGUUCGGCAGGGGAGACUGGAAUUCCUGGUGUAGCGGUGAAAUGCGCAGAUAUCAGGAGGAACACCCAGGGGGAAACCAGCCGACUGGGCAUUUGCUGACGCUGAGGUGCGAGAGCGUGGGGAGCGAACCGG
rnacentral:rRNA from 1 species